GCCCUCUGUGAUGAGAACAGCAGCUCAGAUGUCUCCCCAAGGAGGCGACUGCUUCCAGCAGGGCUGUCUCCUGGCUCUCCUCACACCAGUCCAAGCUCCCAGUCCCCAUCUGCACUUGGGGCCCCUGCAAUCCAGGACUCGAGCCAAGUUUACAGAUGAAGACACUGAGGCUCAUCCUGCAGCUGUGAAGUGGCAGAGCCCACGCUGGAAACUACAGUCUGAAGGCAGAGCCUGUGCUCUUAACCACUUAGCUGCAUGACCCCAGGCAAGACAUUUAACUUCUACAAGCCCCAGUCCCGACAUCUGCAAAACAUAGAUAAGAAAGAGGCAUAGUGGGUAAGACACUUCCUUUACAGGGUUGUCCUGUGGAUUAAAUGACAUCAGGCAUUCACCAUAGUCACAGUGCCGCAGGAGGCAAUUCCUUCAGUUUCAUUGGAAUCCAAAGAGCAUUCCUUGCUCUCUUCACAAGACGCUUCUAAUAUUAAUAACUACCAUUUAUC